AUGAUGCUGAGGAGACAGCUGAUGGAUUUUGGCUGCUUCAAAACACCAUCCAACAGUAGGACUACAGUCUAUGCAUCUCUAAGUCAGCGUAAACAGGUUGCAGGAAGAACAAAAAGAACUUUGAGAGACUCCUACCAUGUUUUUAUUCAUAUUUUUAGAUGGCUGAGAUGUUCUGUUUCAACAGAUGAAGCAGGGUAGAACAUCUGUUAUGUGAUAACUCGUAUGUGCUGUUCCCCAACCGGUAAGCAAUGCAUCCAAUGAAUUCACCUUAAGGAGAAGACCUGCACUGUGUGUGUGUGUGUGUGUGUGUGUGUGUGUGUGUGUACCUGCAAGGUGUG
rnacentral:lncRNA from 1 species